rnacentral:misc_RNA from 1 species
GAUGAAGAACGUAGCGAAAUGCGAUAAGUAAUGUGAAUUGCAGAAUUCAGUGAAUCAUCGAAUCUUUGAACGCACCUUGCGCCCUUUGGACAUUCCGAAGGGCAUGCCUGUUUGAGUAUCAUGAACACCUCAACUCUCACGGCUUGUCCGUGAUGAGCUUGGACUUUGGGGGUCUUGCCGGCCUGUGGUCGGCUCCUCUCAAAUGGAUCAGCUUGCCAGUGUUUGGUGGCAUCACAGGUGUGAUAACUAUCUGCGCUUGUGGUUUUCCAUUAGAUAACCUUCAGUGAUAUGGAGGUUCGCUGGAGCUCACAAAUGUCUCUCCUUAGUGAGGACAGCUCUUUGAACGUUUGAUCUCAAAUCAGGUAGGACUACCCGCUGAACUUAAGCAUAUCAAUAAGCGGAGGA